UCGAGGAUCUUCGGCAAUGAGCGCAAGCUUGACCGAGCGACGCCGCGUGUGCGAUGAAGGCCUUCGGGUUGUAAAGCACUGUCGAGAGGGAGAAAGGGAAACUUGAUCUAUCUCUGGAGGAAGCACGGGCUAAGUUCGUGCCAGCAGCCGCGGUAAGACGAACCGUGCGAACGUUGUUCGGAAUCACUGGGCUUAAAGGGCGCGUAGGCGGGUCGUCAAGUUUGGGGUGAAAUCCUCCGGCUCAACCGGAGAACUGCCUUAAAUACUGACGAUCUCGAGGGGGAUAGGGGCAUGCGGAACUACGGGUGGAGCGGUGAAAUGCGUUGAUAUCCGUAGGAACUCCGGUGGCGAAGGCGGCGUGCUGGAUCCCUUCUGACGCUGAGGCGCGAAAGCCAGGGGAGCAAACG
rnacentral:rRNA from 1 species